GGCGCGGCGGGGGCCGGAGCGGGCCGAGCCGCCGCGCCCGCUCCAUGGAGGCCGCGGCCGAAGCCCUGGGGGGGCCGGCGGCGCUCAGCUGCUUCUCCUACAACCAGGACUGCACCUCCCUGGCAAUUGGAACCACAACUGGAUACAGGCUUUUCUCCUUAAGUUCCGUGGAGCAACUGGACCAGGUCCAUGAAAGCAAUGAAAUCCCAGAUGUUUACAUCGUGGAGCGUCUGUUCUCCAGCAGCCUUGUGGUUGUGGUCAGUCAUGCCAAGCCACAGCAAAUGAAUGUCUACCACUUCAAGAAAGGGACAGAGAUCUGCAACUAUAGCUAUUCCAGUAACAUCCUGUCCAUCCGGCUGAAUCGUCAGAGGCUGAUUGUUUGCCUGGAGGAGUCAAUUUACAUCCAUAACAUCAAGGACAUGAAGCUUUUGAAGACUAUCCUGGAUACGCCCCCAAAUACAACAGGUCUGUGCGCUCUCUCAAUCAACCACGCCAACUCCUACUUGGCUUAUCCUGGCAGUGCAACCAGCGGAGAGAUCGCACUUUACGACGGAAAUACUUUGAAAACAGCCUGCACAAUUGCUGCCCACGAUGGGCCUCUGGCUGCCCUGACCUUCAACUCCACCGGGUCGAAGCUGGCGAGUGCUUCUGAAAAGGGCACAGUCAUUCGUGUAUUUUCCAUUCCUGGUGGGCAAAAGCUCUAUGAAUUCCGUCGAGGGAUGAAAAGGUAUGUGAAUAUCAGCUCUCUGGUGUUCAGCAUGGAUUCCCAGUUCCUAUGUGCUUCGAGUAACACAGAGACAGUGCACAUCUUUAAACUGGAGCAUCUCACUGACAGCCGGCCAGAAGAGCCACCAACCUGGACUGGGUACAUGGGAAAGAUGUUCCAGGCUGCCACCAACUACCUCCCUGCCCAGGUGUCGGGCAUGAUGAACCAAGAUCGAGCCUUUGCCACUGUCCGCCUCAACAUCUCGGGACAAAGGAACAUCUGUGCCCUCUCCACGAUUCAGAAGCUGCCUCGACUGCUGGUGACUACAUCUGAUGGACAUCUCUACAUCUACAACUUGGACCCGCAAGAUGGAGGAGAGUGUGUCUUAAUUCAGAAACACAGUCUGCUUGGCUCAGGAAAAAUGGAGGAGAACAAAGAAAAUGACCUUCAGCCUCCAUUACCUCAAUCUUAUGCAGCAACUGUAGCCAGACAAAGUACAGUGCCUUCAACUUCGACUAUGCCAGGUUAUUCGGAGGAUGGUGGUGCCCUGCGAGGAGAGGUCAUCCCAGAGCACGAGUUUGCAACCGGACCAGUGUGUCUCGAUGAUGAGAAUGAGUUUCCUCCUCUUGUUGGAGACAGAGAACAAGAGUUUUCUAUUUCUCCUACUCCAUCCCCUAAGAAGGACAUCGCAGUGUCUCCCAUCUGGUCAAAGCCCUUUGGGCCACAGAGCAGCUGGGAGGAAUGUUUGAGGAGCAGCACGGCCAGAGAGAAAUCCUUUGCUUCCUUCUGCAGAACCUGCUCUUUGAGCAUGUGGUUUGGGGCCAUGCAAAUGCCAGCAAGCAGGAACCACGCUGCUCCUGAAUGAGCCUGCCUGCUGGGACUGCGCUGUAAAAACCAGCCCCAAACCCCUGCUGUACAGGCAGGGGUUUUAUUAAAUGGACUUUGAUCUGUCAAAAUCCUGUGCUGUAAUUAACCUGACGGAGCAACUUACAUGUGUAAUGUUAGGGAGGAGGUGGUGUGAGAGGGAAGGAGCUUUCCAAAAAUACUCCCUGAUACGGCAGCUUUGCAAUCGGAGCUUCCAGAUAAAGAGUGUGCAGUCAGGACUCCGGCUUUUCCUCCAUUGCUGGCAGUAAUGUGUUUUGCAUCUGCUCUGCUCGCUGGUGCGGCGCUGGCUCCCGCUGUGUGGUGCACAGGGAGCCCUGGUUGGGAUGUUUUGAUGUUCUGAAUUUCACUGGGCUUCGCUGUUUUCUCAGUGCUGAGCAGUUUGGUGACUCGUCCAAGAGGGGUUUCAGGGAUCGGUCACUUCUGUGCGGAGAAGGAGGGAGAAGAAAACUGACCUUAUCCAACAAAAAUGUUUUGACAGCAUUCUGUUUUGCGGAAACAUGGGAAGGGUUUUGUUUGUUUUCCAGUGUGCAACAAAAAGACAUUUAAAAACCUCAAAACUUGUGACAAAAUGGAAUAUUUACCCACAGCCCACGAGCACGGCUUUGAACUCAGACGUACUUCUGGAGGAACAGCAGUGCUGAGACCCAGCGGGUCCUCUCCAUUUUGAGAUGGUUUGCCUUCCCCUGACCUCAAGUGAUGGUGAGCAAGACUUCAGAGGCUCAGCUGUUAAUGACAAGGAAAUGCAGCUUUGGUCUAAUGCGCAAUCUGUGGCUGAUGGUAGAAAACUGCCUCUUCAUUAAAUGGAAGGAGGGACGGGUCAGAGAAGAGAUGAGAAGCACAAGGAGGGCUUGUAAAAACACCUCAGUGAGAAUGAACGUGGCUAUUGCUCCUGAUGAUGCCAGCACUGCUGAAGUAUCCUGUAGCAAGAGGUUAAGCAAGUUCAAUUAUGUGUCUUGCUUACACUGAUGGGCUGGAUUAAAUGCUCUCAGGUCUCGCAGGGGUUCUGGAGUAACUGUGAUCUUCUGCAGAAGGUACUCAGGCAUUACUGAAAUGGACAGCAGGCUGGAGGAGAAGGUGAGGAGAAGAUGCUGUGCCUCAGACGGGCUCAAGGAAGCAGCACUGCACCUGAACUGCACAGCUGGAUGGCGCCGCGGGAAGACGAGCCCAGCUCUGGCUGCAGGCAGUUGGGAUGGUCCCUGCCAUUCUCACCAAGCAGUUGUCACCUCUUUGCAGGUUCAUUGGUGUCACUGAAGCUUCCAGCAGUGUCAGAAAACGUUGGUGUGCGUUCACAGCUGGCUGCUCAGCCUCGGCAGGGACCACAGGAUAAUCUUGUGCCGUGGAGGUCAGCCGGGCAAAGCGAAGAGGUCAUGAUGAGAAGCAAACAUCCGUGUGCAGGACAGCUGCUGGGAAGUGCUUUGGAGCAGCCAGGAAUCUCGAAGAACAGAUCUGUGAGUCUUCAAGAAGACUAAAAAACCCAAGGUGGGCCACUGCUUUUAACUAGAGUACGUGUAAGUGAAUAGCUGGCCCUGCUCACCCCGCGUCUUAAUCCUCGUCUGGGUGGGGUGUCCGUGUACUGUAUGCACAUUGCUAUAUUUAACAAACUAUAUGUUAGAACCACAUUGUAAAUGCUAAUUUAAUCAGAUCUGUACGUAACCAGGAUUUUAUAUACCUGUUCUACCCGUUUCUAAUUUAUGCUGUUUUAUGUGUAUAAAUGUACUUAAUAGGAAGAUAUAUUAAACUUAACGUCUUUGUACAGUACAUACUAUUUUACCCAAGCAAAGUAUUUUUGCAGUGACACGAGAGGAGAUGUGAUUUGCUACAGUUAAAGACAGAAUAAAGUCACAGUCCGUCCCUGGCA